rnacentral:rRNA from 1 species
GACGAGCCUCACGAACGUUAUUCGGAAUCACUGGGCGUAAAGGGCGUGUAGGCGGGAAGGAAAGUCAGAUGUGAAAUCCCUGGGCUCAACCCAGGAACUGCAUUUGAAACUCCCUUUCUUGAGUGUCGGAGAGGAAAGUGGAAUUCCUGGUGUAGAGGUGAAAUUCGUAGAUAUCAGGAGGAACACCGGUGGCGAAGGCGGCGACCUGGUCCUUUUACUGACGCUGAGGCGCGAAAGCGUGGGGAGCAAACAGG